GUUAUGCUUGUCUUUUCCACUAUUUUCCUUUAUCUCUUUGAGAAUACUGAUUAUACUUGCCUUACAUUUAAUUUUUCGUUUAUAUUGUUUUUGGCCCGCCAACUCUUCUUUAUGCGAUGUAAGGUAGAGGGAUUUACCUCAAAUUGGAGAUUUUCUAACUUUACAAGCUUUGUUGAACUACUCUUUGUGGGUCUCUCUCCACAGUCAGCAACGCUACCCUUAGGGAUCCUCCAUUCCUCCUCUGUGGUCCUAGCAGCAAUGGUGGGGAAGAGCCAGCCAAAAUGCCUGAGAAUCUCCUGUUAUUCACCUUCUACAACAGCAAGGUCCUCAGUACCUUAAAGCUGUCUGUUUGUGCACUGAAGAUCUUCCAGGAUUAAUUGAACAAAGAGUUUGGUGAAGACUUCUGGGAAAUUAUCACAAAAGACAAAUCAUAAUAGGCGGUUGCAGCAGCAGAAAUGCUCUUUUAAGAAAAGCCUUUCAACGGACUCUGAGAGUCUGAAUCUCCUACGGGUUCUACGAAUAGCAGCAGCCUUGGUUGCAAAUCAAGGGCAUGAUUGUAGGUACACAGAGCUCGGCCCAGGUGGUAACUGACACAAAGGGUCAGCCCUAAAUGAAACUGUGAAGACGGUAAAAUUCAUUU
rnacentral:lncRNA from 1 species